ensembl:lncRNA
UAACGAGAAGACGAGAGUAACAUUAAGAAGACGAGAGUAACGAGAGAAGACGAGAAGUAACGAUAGAAGACGAGAGUAACGAGAGAAGACGAGAGUAACGAGAGAAGACGAGAGUAACAUUAAGAAGACGACAGGAGAAGAUAGAAGACGAGAGUAACGAGAGAAGACGAGAGUAACAUUAAGAAGACGAGAGUAACAUUAAGAAGACGAGAGUAACGAGAGAAGACGAGUAACGAUAGAAGACGAGAGUAACGAGAGAAGACGAGAGUAACAUUAAGAAGACGAGAGUAACGAGAGAACGAGAGUAACGAGAG